AGAGUUCGAUCCUGGCUCAGAUUGAACGCUGGCGGCAGGCCUAACACAUGCAAGUCGAACGGUAACAGAAAGCAGCUUGCUGCUUUGCUGACGAGUGGCGGACGGGUGAGUAAUGUCUGGGAAACUGCCUGAUGGAGGGGGAUAACUACUGGAAACGGUAGCUAUUACCGCAUAACGUCGCAAGACCAAAGAGGGGGACCUUCGGGCCUCUUGCCAUCGGAUGUGCCCAGAUGGGAUUAGCUAGUAGGUGGGGUAACGGCUCACCUAGGCGACGAUCCCUAGCUGGUCUGAGAGGAUGACCAGCCACACUGGAACUGAGACACGGUCCAGACUCCUACGGGAGGCAGCAGUGGGGAAUAUUGCACAAUGGGCGCAAGCCUGAUGCAGCCAUGCCGCGUGUAUGAAGAAGGCCUUCGGGUUGUAAAGUACUUUCAGCGGGGAGGAAGGGAGUAAAGUUAAUACCUUUGCUCAUUGACGUUACCCGCAGAAGAAGCACCGGCUAACUCCGUGCCAGCAGCCGCGGUAAUACGGAGGGUGCAGCGUAUCGAUUACUGGGCGUAAAGCGCACGCAGGCGGUUUGUUAAGUCAGAUGUGAAAUCCCCGGGCUCAACCUGGGAACUGCAUCUGAUACUGGCAAGCUUGAGUCUCGUAGAGGGGGGUAGAAUUCCAGGUGUAGCGGUGAAAUGCGUAGAGAUCUGGAGGAAUACCGGUGGCGAAGGCGGCCCCCUGGACGAAGACUGACGCUCAGGUGCGAAAGCGUGGGGAGCAAACAGGAUUAGAUACCCUGGUAGUCCACGCCGUAAACGAUGUCGACUUGGAGGUUGUGCCCUUGAGGCGUGGCUUCCGGAGCUAACGCGUUAAGUCGACCGCCUGGGGAGUACGGCCGCAAGGUUAAAACUCAAAUGAAUUGACGGGGGCCCGCACAAGCGGUGGAGCAUGUGGUUUAAUUCGAUGCAACGCGAAGAACCUUACCUGGUCUUGACAUCCACAGAACUUUCCAGAGAUGGAUUGGUGCCUUCGGGAACUGUGAGACAGGUGCUGCAUGGCUGUCGUCAGCUCGUGUUGUGAAAUGUUGGGUUAAGUCCCGCAACGAGCGCAACCCUUAUCCUUUGUUGCCAGCGGUCCGGCCGGGAACUCAAAGGAGACUGCCAGUGAUAAACUGGAGGAAGGUGGGGAUGACGUCAAGUCAUCAUGGCCCUUACGACCAGGGCUACACACGUGCUACAAUGGCGCAUACAAAGAGAAGCGACCUCGCGAGAGCAAGCGGACCUCAUAAAGUGCGUCGUAGUCCGGAUUGGAGUCUGCAACUCGACUCCAUGAAGUCGGAAUCGCUAGUAAUCGUGGAUCAGAAUGCCACGGUGAAUACGUUCCCGGGCCUUGUACACACCGCCCGUC
rnacentral:rRNA from 1 species